GAUGAACGCUGGCGGCGUGCCUAAUACAUGCAAGUCGAGCGAACAGACGAGGAGCUUGCUCCUCUGGCGUUAGCGGCGGACGGGUGGGUAACACGUGGAUAACCUACCUAUAAGACUGGGAUAACUUCGGGAAACCGGAGCUAAUACCGGAUAAUAUAUUGAACCGCAUGGUUCAAUAGUGAAAGACGGUUUUGCUGUCACUUAUAGAUGGAUCCGCGCCGCAUUAGCUAGUUGGUAAGGUAACGGCUUACCAAGGCAACGAUGCGUAGCCGACCUGAGAGGGUGAUCGGCCACACUGGAACUGAGACACGGUCCAGACUCCUACGGGAGGCAGCAGUAGGGAAUCUUCCGCAAUGGGCGAAAGCCUGACGGAGCAACGCCGCGUGAGUGAUGAAGGUCUUCGGAUCGUAAAACUCUGUUAUUAGGGAAGAACAAAUGUGUAAGUAACUAUGCACGUCUUGACGGUACCUAAUCAGAAAGCCACGGCUAACUACGUG
rnacentral:rRNA from 1 species